AAAAACAUCGCCUCUUGAUUUAUGAUAAGAGGUCCAGCCUGCCCAGUGAAUUUUUAACGGCCGCGGUAUCCUAACCGCGCGAAGGUAGCAUAAUCACUUGUUCUUUAAAUGGGGACUCGUAUCAACGGCAUCACGAGGGUUUUACUGUCUCCUCUUUUUGAUCAGUGAAAUUGAUCUUCCCGUGAAGAAGCGGGAAUACUCAUAUAAGACGAGAAGACCCCAUGGAGCUUAAAACCAAAUGGUAACUUAACCACAUAUUUCCUUAUAACUUUAAGCCUAUACUAUGAGGUUUUUGGUUGGGGUGACCGCGGAGUAAAACAUAUCCUCCACGACGGAAAGACUACAAUCUUUAUUUAAGAACCACAGUUCUAAAAAUUAGCAUACUAACGUUUACUGACCCGAUAAUCGAUCAACGGAACAAGUUACCCUGGGGAUAACAGCGCAAUCUACUUCAAGAGCCCAUAUCGACGAGUAGGCUUACGACCUCGAUGUUGGAUCAGGGUAUCCCAGUGGUGCAGCCAUUACUGAAGGUUCGUUUGUUCAACGAUUAAAACCCUACGUGAUCUGA
rnacentral:rRNA from 1 species